rnacentral:rRNA from 1 species
GAUGAACGCUGGCGGUAUGCUUAACACAUGCAAGUCGAACGGGGGACUUCGGUUUCUAGUGGCGGACGGGUGAGUAACGCGUGAGAAUCUGCCUUUAGGACGGGGACAACAGUUGGAAACGGCUGCUAAAACCCGAUGUGCCCUUCGGGGUGAAAUAUUUAUAGCCUGAAGAUGAGCUCGCGUCUGAUUAGCUAGUUGGUAAGGUAAAGGCUUACCAAGGCGACGAUCAGUAACUGGUCUGAGAGGAUGACCAGUCACACUGGGACUGAGACACGGCCCAGACUCCUACGGGAGGCAGCAGUGGGGAAUUUUCCGCAAUGGGCGCAAGCCUGACGGAGCAAUACCGCGUGAGGGAGGAAGGCUCUUGGGUCGUAAACCUCUUUUAUCAGGGAAGAACACAAUGACGGUACCUGAUGAAUCAGCAUCGGCUAACUCCGUGCCAGCAGCCGCGGUAAUACGGAGGAUGCAAGCGUUAUCCGGAAUUAUUGGGCGUAAAGCGUCCGCAGGUGGUUUUGAAAGUUUGCUGUCAAAGCGCGAGGCUCAACUUCGUACCGGCGGUGAAAACUUCAAGACUAGAGUUUGGUAGGGGUCACGGGAAUUCCCAGUGUAGCGGUGAAAUGCGUAGAUAUUGGGAAGAACACCAGCGGCGAAAGCGCGUGACUGGGCCUGAACUGACACUCAUGGACGAAAGCUAGGGGAGCGAAAGGGAUUAGAUACCCCUGUAGUCCUAGCCGUAAACGAUGACAACUAGGUGUUGCCCG